AGCCAAUAGAUACCCAGGUAGUCCACGCCCUAAACGAUGUCUACUAGUUGUUGGUGGAGUAAAAUCCAUGAGUAAACGCAGCUAACGCGUGAAGUAGACCGCCUGGGGAGUACGGUCGCAAGAUUAAAACUCAAAGGAAUUGACGGGGGGCCCGCACAAGCGGUGGAUUAUGUGGAUUAAUUCGAUGCAACGCGAAAACCUUACCUGGCCUUGACAUGCCACUAACGAAGCAGAGAUGCAUUAGGUGCCCGUAAGGGAAAGUGGACACAGGUGCUGCAUGGCUGUCGUCAGCUCGUGUCGUGAGAUGUUGGGUUAAGUCCCGCAACGAGCGCAACCCUUGCCAUUAAUUGCCAUCAUUUAGUUGGGCACUUUAAUGGGACUGCCGGUGACAAACCGGAGGAAGGUGGGGAUGACGUCAAGUCCUCAUGGCCCUUAUGGCCAGGGCUUCACACGGUAAUACAAUGGUCGGUACAGAGAGUUGCCAACCCGCAGGGGGAGCUAAUCUCAGAAAGCCGAUCGUAGUCCGGAUUGUUCUCU
rnacentral:rRNA from 1 species